rnacentral:rRNA from 1 species
UACGAAGGGGCUAGCGUUGCUCGGAAUCACUGGGCGUAAAGCGCGCGCAGGCGGCGGUGCUGGCCCGGCGUGAAAGCCCCCGGCUCAACCGGGGAGGGUCGUCGGGGACCGCACCGCUUGAGGGCGGUAGGGGCUGGUGGAAUGCCUGGUGUAGUGGUGAAAUGCGUAGAGAUCAGGCGGAACACCCGUGGCGAAGGCGGCCAGCUGGGCUAACACUGACGCUCAGGCACGAAAGCGUGGGGAGCAAACAGG